AGGCGAUCCAAACAACCGUUAGGUGAACAAAACUAUUAUACUCUGUAGCAACGUGUUGCGAGAGCAUAAAAAUUUUACAUACAAAGACAUGUAUUUCGUCGAUUCCUAAAAAUUCUUGGGGGACAACGACGUGUGCAAAAUUUUAGAUCGAUAUUUCAAAAACUAAGGGACUAGUUCUCGUAUAUGAUACGACGGAUAUGGCUAAAUCGACUAAGCUCGUCAUGCUGAUCAUUUAUCUAAAUUUUACGGACUCUUCUGGGUGUUACAAACUUCGUGGCUAACUUAAUAAACACUGUUCAAGGUAUAAAGAAAACGGAUUUCAAACUUAUUUGCAAUAUACGAACCAGUGUGUGGAUACUGUAGUUCUUGACGUACUCUUUCCAUCAAUAUAUCAGUUCGCAAAUUAUUUGGAGCGUAAAAAAUUCGAUCAACGUCAUUAGAAGGGAAUUCCGUCUUAAUAAAGUA